rnacentral:rRNA from 1 species
AGUGAACGCUGGCGGAAUGCUUUACACAUGCAAGUUGAACGGCAGCACGGACUUCGGUCUGGUGGCGAGUGGCGAAAGGGUGAGUAAUGUAACGGAACGUGCCCAGUCGUGGGGGAUAACGUAGUGAAAAUUACGCUAAUACCGCAUACGAUCUAUGGAUGAAAGCGGGGGCUCGCAAGACCUCGCGCGAUUGGAGCGGCCGAUAUCAGAUUAGGUAGUUGGUGGUGUAAAGGCCCACCAAGCCAACGAUCUGUAGCUGGUCUGAGAGGACGACCAGCCACACUGGAACUAAGACACGGUCCAGACUCCUACGGGAGGCAGCAGUGGGGAAUUUUGGACAAAGGGCGAAAGCCUGAUCCAGCCAUUCCGCGUGCAGGAUGAAGGCCCUCGGGUUGUAAACUGCUUUUGUACAGAACGAAAAGGUUUCUACUAAUACUAGGAGCUCAUGACGGUACUGUAAGAAUAAGCACCGGCUAACUACGUGCCAGCCGCCGCCGUAA